AUACGGAGGACGCGAGCGUUAUCCGGAUUCAUUGGGUUUAAAGGGUGCGCAGGCGGCCGUGCAAGUCAGCGGUGAAAGCCCGGGGCCCAACCCCGGAAGUGCCGUUGAUACUGCAUGGCUUGAAUGCGGUCGAGGCGGGCGGGACGUGGCGGGUAGGGGUGGAAUGCGUAGAUAUGCCACAGAACGCCGAUUGCGAAGGCAUCUCACGAAGGGUUGAUUGACGCUGAGGCACGAAAGCGUGGGGAUCAAACAGGAUUAGAUACCCUGGUAGUCCACGCAGUAAACGAUGAUGGCUAACCGCUGGGCUUAUCAGUUCAGUGGCCAAGCGAAAGCGAUAAGCCAUCCACCUGGGGAGUACGACCGCAAGGUUGAAACUCAAAUGAAUUGACGGGG
rnacentral:rRNA from 1 species